UACGUAGGGUGCGAGCGUUGUCCGGAUUUAUUGGGCGUAAAGGGCUCGUAGGCGGCCUGUCGCGUCGGGAGUGAAAGCCCACUGCUUAACGGUGGGUCUGCUUCCGGUACGGGCGGGCUGGAGUAUGGCAGGGGAGACUGGAAUUCCUGGUGUAGCGGCGGAAUGCGCAGAUAUCAGGAGGAACACCGGUGGCGAAGGCGACACGCUGGGCCGUACCUGACACUGAUGCGCGACAGCAUGGGGAGCAAACAGG
rnacentral:rRNA from 1 species